rnacentral:rRNA from 1 species
AUUGAACGCUGGCGGCAGGCUUAACACAUGCAAGUCGAGCGGAGAUGAGGUGCUUGCACCUUAUCUUAGCGGCGGACGGGUGAGUAAUGCUUAGGAAUCUGCCUAUUAGUGGGGGACAACAUUCCGAAAGGAAUGCUAAUACCGCAUACGCCCUACGGGGGAAAGUAGGGGAUCUUCGGACCUUGCGCUAAUAGAUGAGCUUAAGUCGGAUUAGCUAGUUGGUGGGGUAAAGGCCUACCAAGGCGACGAUCUGUAGCGGGUCUGAGAGGAUGAUCCGCCACACUGGGACUGAGACACGGCCCAGACUCCUACGGGAGGCGGCAGUGGGGAAUAUUGGACAAUGGGCGGAAGCCUGAUCCAGCCAUGCCGCGUGUGUGAAGAAGGCCUUUUGGUUGUAAAGCACUUUAAGCGAGGAGGAGGCUACCUGGAUUAAUACUCUAGGAUAGUGGACGUUACUCGCAGAAUAAGCACCGACUAACUCUGUGCCAGCCGCCGCCGUAAAAC